CCUACGGGAGGCUGCAGUGGGGGAUAUUGGUCAAUGGGGGCAACCCUGAUCCAGCGACGUCGCGUGAGUGAAGAAGUCUCUCGGUAUGUAAAGCUUCAUCAGCAGGGAAGUAAGAAAUGACGGUACCUGCGUAAGAAGCCUCGGCUAACUACGUGCCAGCAGCAGCGGUAAUACGGAGGAGGCAAGCGUUAUCCGGAAUUACUGGGUGUAAAGGGAGCGUAGACGGUAAUGCAAGUCAGGAGUGAAAGGCUGCGGCUCAACCGUCGGAUUGCACUGGAUACUGGGUAACUUGAGUGCAGGUGAGGCAGGCGGAAGUCGUGGUGUAGCGGUGAAAUGCUUAGAUAUUAGGAAGAACUCCGAUGGCGAAGGCAGCCUGCUAGACUGCAACUGACAUUGAUGCUCGAAAGCGUGGGGAUCAAACAGGAUUAGAUACCCGGGUAGUC
rnacentral:rRNA from 1 species